UGCGUAGGCGGUUUGGUAAGUCAGAUGUGAAAUUCCUGGGCUCAACCGAGGAACUGCAUUUGAUACUGCCAGACUAGAGUACUGGAGAGGAGACUGGAAUUCACGGUGUAGCAGUGAAAUGCGUAGAUAUCGUGAGGAAGGCCAGUGGCGAAGGCGAGUCUCUGGACAGUAACUGACGCUGAGGCACGAAGGCCAGGGGAGCAAACG
rnacentral:rRNA from 1 species